GGGGGUAUGGUCUAGUGGUAUGAUUUCUGUUUUGCACUAUUACAGAAGGUCCCGUGUUCGAUCCACGGUGCCUCCA